AACGAACGCUGGCGGCAGGCUUAACACAUGCAAGUCGAACGGGCAUAGCAAUAUGUCAGUGGCAGACGGGUGAGUAACACGUGGGAACCUUCCUAGAGGUACGGAACAACGCAGGGAAACUUGUGCUAAUCCCGUAUACGCUCGAGAGAGGAAAGAUUUAUCGCCUUUAGACGGGCCCGCGUAGGAUUAGGUAGUUGGUGAGGUAACGGCUCACCAAGCCUACAAUCCUUAGCUGAUCUGAGAGGAUGAUCAGCCACAAUGGGACUAAGACGCGGCCAAGAGUGGUACGGGAGGGAGCAGUGGGGAAUCUUGGACAAUGGGCGCAAGCCUGCUCCAGCCAUGCCGCGUGAGUGAAGAAGGCCUUCGGGUUGUAAAGCUCUUUUACAAGGGCAGAUAAUGACGGUACCUUGAGAAUAAGCCCCGGCUAACUUCGUGCCAGCCGCCGCGGUAA
rnacentral:rRNA from 1 species